GACGGAAGGUGCAAGCGUUGCUCGGAAUCACUGGGCGUAAAGGGUGCGUAGGCGGGUCUUUAAGUCAGGGGUGAAAUCCUGGAGCUCAACUCCAGAACUGCCUUUGAUACUGAAGAUCUUGAGUUCGGGAGAGGGUAGUGGAAUUCCCGGUGUAGUGGUGAAAUGCGUAGAUAUCGGGAGGAACACCAGUGGCGAAGGCGACUACCUGGCCUGUUUCUUGACGCUGAGGCGCGAAAGCUAGGGGAGCAAACGGG
rnacentral:rRNA from 1 species